AUUGAACGCUGGCGGCAGGCUUAACACAUGCAAGUCGAGCGAGCGGCGGACGGGUGUGUAAUGUCUCGGAAACUGCCUGAUGUAGGGGGGUAACUCCUGGAGACGGUAGCUAAUACCGCAUACCAUCAGGUAUGCCCAGAUGGGAUUAGCUAGUAGGUGGGGUAAUGGCUCACCUAGGCGCCGAUCCCUAGCUGGUCUGAGAGGAUGACCAGCCAAACUGGAACUGAGACACGGUCCAGACUCCUACGGGAGGCAGCAGUGGGGAAUAUUGCACAAUGGGCGCAAGCCUGAUGCAGCCAUGCCGCGUGUGUGAAGAAGGCCUUCGGGUUGUAAAGCACUUUCAGCGAGGAGGCGUUACCCGCAGAAGAAGCACCGGCUAACUCCGUGCCAGCAGCCGCGGUAAUAC
rnacentral:rRNA from 1 species